AACGAACGCUGGCGGCGCGCCUAAUACAUGCAAGUCGAGCGAGAAGACGUAGCAAUACGUUUGUAAAGCGGCGAACGGGUGAGGAAUACAUGGGUAACCUACCCUCGAGUGGGGAAUAACUAGCCGAAAGGUUAGCUAAUACCGCGUACGCUCCUUGGACUUCGGUUCAGGGAGGAAAGCGAUACCGUGGGUAUCGCGCUCUUGGAUGGGCUCAUGUCCUAUCAGCUUGUUGGUGAGGAACGGCUCACCAAGGCUUCGACGGGUAGCUGGUCUGAGAGGACGAUCAGCCACACUGGCACUGCGACACGGGCCAGACUCCUACGGGAGCAGCAGUAAGGAAUAUUGCGCAAUGGGCGAAAGCCUGACGCAGCGACGCCGCGUGGGGGAUGAAGGUCUUCGGAUUGUAAACCCC
rnacentral:rRNA from 1 species